rnacentral:rRNA from 1 species
GACGAACGCUGGCGGCGUGCUUAACACAUGCAAGUCGAACGGAAAGGCCCUGCUCUUGUGGGGUGCUCGAGUGGCGAACGGGUGAGUAACACGUGAGUAACCUGCCCUUGACUUUGGGAUAACUUCAGGAAACUGGGGCUAAUACCGGAUAGGAGCUCCUGCUGCAUGGUGGGGGUCGGAAAGUUUCGGCGGUUGGGGAUGGACUCGCGGCUUAUCAGCUUGUUGGUGGGGUAGUGGCUUACCAAGGCUUUGACGGGUAGCCGGCCUGAGAGGGUGACCGGCCACAUUGGGACUGAGAUACGGCCCAGACUCCUACGGGAGGCAGCAGUGGGGAAUAUUGCACAAUGGGCGGAAGCCUGAUGCAGCAACGCCGCGUGCGGGAUGACGGCCUUCGGGUUGUAAACCGCUUUCGCCUGUGACGAAGCGUGAGUGACGGUAAUGGGUAAAGAAGCGCCGGCUAACUACGUGCCAGCAGCCGCGGUGAUACGUAGGGUGCGAGCGUUGUCCGGAUUUAUUGGGCGUAAAGGGCUCGUAGGUGGUUGAUCGCGUCGGAAGUGUAAUCUUGGGGCUUAACCCUGAGCGUGCUUUCGAUACGGGUUGACUUGAGGAAGGUAGGGGAGAAUGGAAUUCCUGGUGGAGCGGUGGAAUGCGCAGAUAUCAGGAGGAACACCAGUGGCGAAGGCGGUUCUCUGGGCCUUUCCUGACGCUGAGGAGCGAAAGCGUGGGGAGCGAACAGGCUUAGAUACCCUGGUAGUCCACGCUGUAAACGGUGGGUACUAGGUGUGGGGUCCAUUCCACGGGUUCCGUGCCGUAGCUAACGCUUUAAGUACCCCGCCUGGGGAGUACGGCCGCAAGGCUAAAACUCAAAGGAAUUGACGGGGCCCCGCACAAGCGGCGGAGCAUGCGGAUUAAUUCGAUGCAACGCGUAGAACCUUACCUGGGUUUGACAUGGAUCGGGAGCGCUCAGAGAUGGGUGUGCCUCUUUUGGGGUCGGUUCACAGGUGGUGCAUGGCUGUCGUCAGCUCGUGUCGUGAGAUGUUGGGUUAAGUCCCGCAACGAGCGCAACCCUUGUUCACUGUUGCCAGCACGUUAUGGUGGGGACUCAGUGGAGACCGCCGGGGUCAACUCGGAGGAAGGUGGGGAUGACGUCAAGUCAUCAUGCCCCUUAUGUCCAGGGCUUCACGCAUGCUACAAUGGCUGGUACAGAGAGUGGCGAGCCUGCGAGGGUGAGCGAAUCUCGGAAAGCCGGUCUCAGUUCGGAUUGGGGUCUGCAACUCGACCUCAUGAAGUCGGAGUCGCUAGUAAUCGCAGAUCAGCAACGCUGCGGUGAAUACGUUCCCGGG